CACAGACCUACUCGGACAUACAUCAUUCAUGAGUGACAUUCAAAUUACAACCGACGCGCGACGUGUUCACGUGUAAAAUACCGAUACGAGUUAUUAAUGAAAUGGAAAAACGCACCUAAAAUUUCGUGUGUUAUCGUAAUAAAUAAUGAUAAUAUAAAAAUCCGUCUCUAUUAUAUUUAUGCCAGCCGUCCGAGAUUCGGAACCAAUAAGAAACGACCGGUUGUGUGAAACAAUGUAGGUGUGGUAUAGAGAACAUCAAAAUACGUAUCUUUAGGAAGGUAUUAUUCGAGCUAUUUCUCUGUUUCAAAAU